UUCCGGCGCCCGCCCGGAUCCCGGCAGCCGCCGCUCCUGUUUCCGUCGGACGGCGAGAGCGCAGGACCAGCUUCCGGGAGGUGCUCCGCGCGUUCGCCGAUCUCUGCGGGGAAGAUGGGGAAAGUGAGGGGGCUGCGCGCCAGAGUGCACCAGGCUGCCGUGAGGCCCAAGGGGGAGGCCGCCCCCGGCCCCGCGCCCCCUGCUCCAGAGGCGGCCCCUCCGCCGUCCUCGGCCGCGGGGAAGGACUGGGCGUUCAUCAACACCAACAUCUUUGCCAGGACCAAGAUAGACCCCAGUGCCUUGGUGCAGAAGCUGGAGCUGGACGUGAGGAGUGUCACUUCUGUCAGGAGAGGUGCAGAGGCCAAGACCGUUUUGCCCAAGAAGGAGAAAAUGAAGCUAAGGCGUGAGCAGUGGUUGCAGAAAAUCGAAGCCAUAAAACUGGCUGAGCAGAAGCACAGGGAGGAGCGGAGGCGGAGGGCCACGGUGGUGGUGGGGGACCUGCACCCGCUCAGGGACGCCCUGCCCGAGCUGCUGGGGCUCAAGGCUAGCAGCCGACGCCAAGCCCACAGCAGGGAGAGCAACAAGCCCCGGCCCUCAGAGCUCAGCCGGAUGAGCACAGCCCAGAGACAGCAGCUUCUUGAAGAAGAAAGGACCCGGUUUCGGGAGCUGCUGGCUAGUCCGGCCUACAGAGCCAGACCCCUGGUGGCGAUCGGGCAGACGCUGGCCCGGCAGAUGCAGCUGGAAGGUGGCGGCCAGCUCUGACCAGGGCAGUGGGCGUGCCCCAACUCCUCAGGACACACGUGUGGGCCAGGUAGAGAGCGCCAGCCCCUCGAGGACCAUGAUCUGAGCCUGGUGGACGCCCUUCCUUCUGGGCUGGGCCCACCCUGGGACAGCUGCCCCUGCUCUGCUCAGUACGACAAGCCACAUCCCUCCGCUGGCAGCUGCGGCCCCCACGCUGAGUCAGGGCGGGCCGUGCACAGGGUUUGUGGGGACUGUAGUUGUGGAGGCCCUAAAUCCGUCCCUGAACUGGCACCGGUGCCCCCAAGCUAGCCCCCUGGGAGGGAAUUGUGCCUGGGUGUGGCCCCAACUGUGCCACCAGCCACCCUGAUUUGCUUCAGCCUCGGUUCCUGCUGCGGCCCUGGUGGGAUCCAGGAGCACUGAGGCCUGCAGGGGCUGCCAUGGGGGCUGGCUUGGGGCCCUCCCCACCUGGGGGUCUGUUUCCCUUCCAGUCUCCCUUGCCACCCUCAGUGACCAGGGACACAGAUGGCCCUGGCAAGGCCCCAGCCUGCUCUUUGCCUGUGUAUGCACCCCCUGGGCUGUGCCCCCAACCCCAACCAUUGCCCUCGCUCUUCCCAGCUGCUCCAAACCCAGGCAGCCCACUGCCUUGCUCUGGGGGCGGAGAGCAGAGGGUCCUUCUGCAGGGAGGAGACGCGGAGUGGGCCCAGCCCUGAAGCUCUUGCUGACCCAGAAGCAGGAGAGGGCCUCUUUUGUUGCUGGAAGCCCUGGUAUUUGAAGGUUUGUUGGACUGUGAAUCAGUGACUGAUCAGUCCUUGUUUUCAGGGUGUGGAAAGCAAGGGGGUGGUGCGUCCCCAGGCCCCUGAGGCCCAGCUGGGCUCCCCCUGCCCCUGCUCCCCCACCCCAGUGCUCUGUGGGACCUCGCUGGCCCAUGUCCUGCAGCAGGGCUGGGCAGGCUGGGCGUGGUGGUGUACCCCACUCGGGGUGUCUGGGAAGUACAGAGCAGGACCACUCUCAGCUCCCAGGCAGGGGCCCAGCACCCUUAGCCUUCCCAGGCUGCCUGGGGUGGGGGUAGUCCCAGGGGCUCCAGGGCAUGUGGGUGGCCCCUGUGUGCAUGGCCCUUCUUGUCGUGAGCGCCCGUGGUCCAACCUCCCCGGCCCUGCCGCCUGCUCAGGGUUCAGAGCCCCAGCAGCCCCACCAAAGGCUUCCUGGCGAGUGGGUGGCCGAGACGACUUGGAGCCUGCAUCCCUUCUGUUCAGUGUCCUGGCCCUUCCCUGACACGAGCAGACACGGCAUCCACAGACACAGCCUGGACACCCUCCGAGGCCCCGAUGAUGGGACAGACGGGCGUACAGGAGCCACAGGCAGCGGAUCCCACACUCCCUCGGGUGGGGCCGGCUUGGCUGCCCAGCCCCAGCCCCAGCUCCUUAGAGAACGGGCUUCUCGCUUCAGAGGAGCUGGUCACAAACCAGUGCUUGCAACAAAACCAUUUUUGUGGUAGAGCGAGUGCUGGGAACAACGUCUGUGGGAUGCAGGCAGGGCAGCGUGGUGGGGAGGCGGGCGGGGGCGGCUUCCACUUUCUCCAACAUCCUCAUCCCAUGGUCUGGGUUUCUUGUGAAAAAUCUGGCCGGGCGCAGUGACAUACACCUGCAGUCCCAGCACUUUGGGAGGCCAAGGCAGGUGUAUCACUUGAGGCCAGGAGUUCAAGACCAGCCAACAUAGUGAGACCCCAUCUCGAC